UUUUGUUCUUGGCUUUCUGGCUAAAAUCAAGUGUAGUAUCUGUUCAUCAGUUUAUCAACAUGUAUCUAAACACAUAUACCAUGCUUAUACAUAUAUACAUACAAAUAUAUGUAUGUAUGUGUGUAUACACACACACACACACACACACACACACA
rnacentral:snRNA from 1 species